GCUGAUGAUAUUGUCAUAUAGGCAGAUGUAACUUCCUUCCUCAAAUACUGAGAAACAGAGUAACCAAGGAACCAUGGCAGAAUUUUCAGCUGCAGGCUGUUUGGAGCAGGGACUUCUCAUUGUAUUUCUAAAUGCAUGUAUCAUGCCUGGCACAACCAGAGCUAAUGUGGUUUGGUUUCCUACCUGCUGUGGUGCAGAUCUGAUGAGAAUUCAGCUGCUGUGGGAAACGUGGCACCAACACUCUGUGAUGACUCAAGAGCUGGCAGGGAGCCCUACAGUUUUGCUGAAUACCAGCUUUUGAAGAAUUGACUAUAUAGAAUGUUCCCACAGUCCUGACAAAGAGAAGUGAAGAGCAAAAGAUAUAAAAGAUAAACUGUUGAGGAAACACUGGAAUUUUGCCUGGGGUUCCAAGCAUUAUAACAUUUUCUAUCCCCAGCUAUUCACUUUGUCCCUGGCUUGAAUCAAAUGAACAAUCUGACUGCAGCUGAACCAGACAUAUGCCCUGGGACUGUGAUGCUGCUGAAGCCCCUCCACAGAAAACAAGUUCUCUAAAACUAAUGUAAAUGAGAGUAGGAUCAAGUCUUUUUCUGGUAGUGUUUGCUUGCAUUAGAAAAGGGGAAAAAGAGGGAAUGGUGAAAAAACAGGUAACAAGUGUUCUCAUUUGUCUGGAAAAAGCACUCGUGCUUUUUUGGAAUUGCCUCCUGAUUUGUUAUGAAACUCUGAAAUUUUUUAAUUUUAGUUCAGUUUCAUGACUAAUCACAGUUUGACAAAUAUGGAAAUUUGUAAGUGUGGGGGAAUUGAUGUGCAGUAGUUUUUGUUCUUUCCCCUGUUCUGUUUGAGGAUCUGCAUGUUGAUGUAUUUAUUUUGAAUUAAUGUUUAUUUCAGUAAGCUGAGGGAUUUGUUAUGAUUAUUAUGAAAGGGCCUGGUAUAUAUGCAAAUGAAAUUCAGAGAAGUAGGAGAAAGGAACUAAUUUGCUAUUGGAAUUUGAGGAUAAGUUAUUUUGAUCAAAGCUUCUAGAUAAAUAUUAUUCCACAUAGCAAACCUGUUUCUUCCUUGUCUUAAUGAAUUCUUGUAUUGUAAAUUUGUGUAAGCAAAAUUGAUUUGGAACACCAACAUUAGUUUAGUCAGUCAGUUUAUAUGUUACUGGAAUAUUUUCAGUUACAAGCAGGGUCACAAAUGUCCACCUUAUUUUUAAGGAAUUUAGGGAAACAAUAUUCUUGUCAAUGUGUGGUGACUGGGUGAAGAUCUAGGUUUUAAAGUGCAACUAAUUUUUAUGUAAAUUUAUUUUGCUUGCAAGGAUUUUACUUUUCUAAACGUGGUUUUAGAAGACUUGGUUCUCUAGAUAUAAUACAGGGUGCUUCUUUUUUGUUUGAAGAAAACUUGUUUCA